ensembl:misc_RNA Metazoa_SRP Metazoan signal recognition particle RNA
GCUGGGCGUGGUGGCGCGCACCUGUAAUCCCAGCUACUUGGGAGGCUGAGGCAGGAGAAUCGCUUGAACCUUGGAGGUGGAGGUUGCAGUGAGCUGAGAUCGUGCCACUGCACUCCAGCCUAGGCGACAGAGCGGGACCCUGUCUCAA